AUGGGUGUUGAGAGGUGCUUUAUGCUUUGGGUGGUGGCGCGGCUACGUGCUGGCAGUAGAGGAGCGGCGGCCAAUAUAUACUUCCACGUUGCCAUGGCAGGUGUCCAGAAUCCCCUCAUGCAUGCAUGCACGGCGACAUGUGGACCACUAUGGAGACUGCAUACAAGGUUUGAUCUGUUCCGUACCGACUCGAAGCGCAGCGGAAGAAGAGUCGGUGGAGAUCAUUGGUGCAGAUCCCCGCAGCUAGGAUUUACAACCUCCCAACCGCAAGGAUGUACUCCCUCGCCGGACAGCCCGUCGGGAGGCGGUCGGACAGUCCCCCGGACGAUGUCGCGGACAGCCCUUCGGGAGGACCCUCGAAACUCGAACGGAGACUCGGACAGCCCUUCGGGAGGACACUCGAAUAGCCCCUCGGGCAAAAGACCGAUACUACGACCUCUCUACGGGGUUGCACACAUACGGUGCCAGCUAUCCUGCAGGGCUUCGCCGUCCAGAACUAGUUCCUGCCAGAACCCAGACAGCCUUACGGCUCUACGAAACCCUUUUCGUGGGAGGGAGAGAAGAAGCCAGAUAAUGCAUGGCAUGUGGCAUAAUGGGGAGGGAAGUGGAGCUCCAUGGAGCCCCACACAUGUGGCCGGCCAACCCCCUUGGGGGGCCCCCAUGAGGAGCAUGCUUGGCCCCCAAGCCCUUCUAGAAGCCUUUUGGAAAUAUCCCAAAAGAACCCAAAGAACUGAUAGCGCUUCCAUGAUCAAUCAGGAUCACGGAUUGCCAGAACUUUGUCAAAUUCUACCAUGCUGUCUCGAGAUUGAGCAAACGCAAAUUCUAGGGAAGCAACAAGAACGUCGGCUAGGAUUUACAACCUCCCAACCGCAAGGAUGUACUCCCUCGCCGGACAGCCCUUCGGGAGGCGGUCGGACAGUCCCCCGGACGAUGUCGCGGACAGCCCUUCGGGAGGACCCUCGAAACUCGAACGGAGACUCAGACAGCCCUUUGGGAGGACACUCGAACAGCCCCUCGGGCAAAAGACCGAUACUACGACCUCUCUACGGGGUUGCACACAUACGGUGCCAGCUAUCCGGCAGGGCUUCGCCGUCCAGAACUAGUUCCUACCGGAACCCAGACAGCCUUACGGCUCUACGAAACUCUUUUCGUGGGAGGGAGAGAAGAAGCCAGAUAAUGCAUGACAUGUGGCAUAAUGGGGAGGGAAGUGGAGCUCCAUGGAGCCCCACACAUGUGGCCGGCCAACCCCCUUGGGGGCCCCCCAUGAGGAGCAUGCUUGGCCCCCAAGCCCUUCUAGAAGCCUUUUGGAAAUAUCCCAAAAGAUGCUUUGGAUCUCUUGAAGUCUUCAAAUUCAAGGGACAAAAUGGCGGAGGACAUUUGGCAGGUUCUUGCCAAGGACCAAGGUGCCCGACUACCUUUGCUGUCAUAACUUUUGAGAUUUUUAGAGAUCCAGUUAUCACACCCAGUGGUGUAACAUAUGAGAGGGCCAUACCACUUGAGCAUCUCCGCAAGGUGGGCAAUUUCGACCCAGUGACGCGGGAACCCUUGAAGGAGCAUCAGCUGGUUCCGAAUCUUGCCAUCAAGGAAGCAGUUCAAGCCUACCUCAAGGAGCAUAGCUGGGCCUACAAGUCGAACUGA
rnacentral:rRNA from 1 species